UAAUACAUUACAACUUUCAGCGGUGGAUGUCUAGGUUCCCACAACGAUGAAGAACGCAGCGAAAUGYGAUACGUAAUGCGAAUUGCAAGACCUCGUGAAUCAUUAAGAUUUUGAACACACAUUGUGCUUUCGGGUAUUCCCGGUAGCAUGCUUGUCUGAGUGUCUGCGGAU
rnacentral:rRNA from 1 species